AAAAAUCAAUUCUAGAUGAAACAAAAAAAAAAUCAAGGCAAACAUUGUAGACAAACUAAAUACGGAAAUGCAUUUCUGGAAAAAUAUAUUUUGGACGAAAACGAAAAUUCAUUUCCAUUUCCUCAUUAAACUGCAACUCAACAAACAUGAAAAUGACAAAAAUGCAUGGAAAUCAAAUUUUCUCAAAACACAUUGCUCAUUUAAACUACAUAUCUAACACAUCGAUCAAUUAAAUAACA
rnacentral:lncRNA from 1 species